CAUAUGAAUUGCUAUUUCGAACAUCGCCAGGCAAACAACACGAAACAUUGUUGUUUUUCGAAUUAACACCUUUCAUUAUAGUAAGUAUAUCAAACGUUGUAGGAGUCAUUCAUCUUAGUGGUGGUAGUUUUCUCCAUUUCGAGUCACAAAAAUUUCAGAUAGUGCAUGAAACAUUUCAGUUUUGAUUACAAAUAAAGCCGAGAAAGUUUGCGAUUUGAAAUAAUACUUAUAAUCAGCUCAUCCAGAUUAAAUCAACAUGAAAUCUAAGCAACUGAUCAUGUAUAUGUUUGUCCUGACUAUUACAGUCUUGUUUGUUCAAGGCAGUCCACAAAGAUAUCCGAGUAUGACAAUUUCUGAAGCUCAAAAUAACCUCAUAGGAAAUACUAAACCGGCACAGCAGGAUUGUGUUUGCAUGAAUUGGCGAAGAUGCGCUGACAUCAAUUCAUAUGUGCAAUGCCAUCCGGAUUUCGCUUUUGUAUGCUGCAGAAGAGCUCGAUAUUAAAAUACAUUGUAGAUUAAGUUAAUACCGUACGCCGCUUAAACUAUUUAUUGUUAUUGAAUUUCAGUUUUAUAUAUUUGAAAUAUUUUUGUUAUACAAUACAUAUCUUUGUUAAAUAAAAUAACCUUACAGGCCAUCUUUUCA
rnacentral:lncRNA from 1 species